rnacentral:rRNA from 1 species
GAUGAACGCUGGCGGCGUGCCUAAUACAUGCAAGUCGAGCGAACAGACGAGGGGCUUGCUCCUCUGACGUUAGCGGCGGACGGGUGAGUAACACGUGGAUAACCUACCUAUAAGACUGGGAUAACUUCGGGAAACCGGAGCUAAUACCGGAUAAUAUAUUGAACCGCAUGGUUCAAUAGUGAAAGACGGGUUUGCUGUCACUUAUAGAUGGAUCCGCGCCGCAUUAGCUAGUUGGUAAGGUAACGGCUUACCAAGGCAACGAUGCGUAGCCGACCUGAGAGCGUGAUCGGCCACCCUGGACCUGAGACACGGUCCAGACUCCUACGGGAGGCAGGAGUAGGGAAUCUUCCGCAAUGGGCGAAAGCGUGACGGAGCAGCGCCGCGUGAGUGAUGAGGGUCUUCGGAUCGUAAAACUCUGCUAUUAGGGAAGAACAAUUGUGUAAGUAACUAUGCACGUCUUGACGGUACCUAAUCAGAACGCCACGGCUAAAUACGUG